AAAAAAGGACUUGCUUGCUCUGGUGAGUAUGGGGAGAGCCUCUCCUCAUGUGUAGGAGUGGCAGCAUAUUCCAGAGUAAAAACAUAAUAAUAAAAUAGUGAACACAUGCAUAGCUACUACUUUAUGCAGGCCUUGUUGUAAGUUCUUUACAUAUAUUCAAUGUUUUUCUCAUAGAAAGACAUUCUUAAGACUGUGAAGAGAGAAGAAAAGCAGGAAACAGAAUUAAGGUAUUUAAGGUACUUAGUCCAGGGCCUGGCACAUAGUAGGCACUCAUUAUUGUUGUUGCCAACAAAAGGUCUCAAGAGAACAUUCAGUCCCCUUCCUCCCCCUAGAUAACGACCCUCCAUAUUCUGAAGCAUUCACUGAAUCUUGCUCCACUAUCGUGCAGCCACAUUCCCACGGUUGAACAAAUCCCACGGAAGACAUCAGUAGGAACUACAGCUCUACUCAGGUAGUUAACACCAACCCUGGGCCCCCCAGCUUGGAUCCUCAGCUGAGGAUAUGCCAAAGAUAAGCGCCCAGCUCCCUCCUUCUCACUUUCUAUCAGUACUCUCUCUUGAGUGUAGAUUUGUUUUAUUUUGUUUUACUGGAGAAGGGGAGGAGGAGAGGUGGAGGCAAAAAAGGGGAAAGGAAACAGAGAAGGUAAGAUGCAGGAAUUAUUUCAGGUCUCAGUUUGGCAGGGGCUCAUAUGUAAAGCUAUUAUGUUCGAGAAAUAUAAAAGACUAAUACUUUUCCUAAAGAUUGAAACAGAAACAGUGGUGAUUGGACUGGGAAUUAUACCUCACUUCAAUGAACUCCAAAAGAACUUGAGUUGAUUGCUGAAGAAGUGAACAAAUAGUGAUCAAUUUGCUGACAACUGUAAAAGCGUAUGGGGUGGGUCACAGCCAUUAUAGCUUCCUGUGGAGUCAGUGGCCAACUCUAGGUUGUUACCCCACUGUAGCCAGCAGAGGUCUCUCUUUUAUUAAUCUUCAAUUUAAAAAAAAAACCUCUGGGUUGUUUAUUUCUAUUAUCCUUUUGAAGUCUCUUUCUAAAGCCAAAUAAAUAAUGAAUCAUUUGGCCAAAACAUCUUCGAAUACUGAAUCUAGUCACUUAGUAAAAAUGAAAGACAAAAAUGCUGAGCUACUUGAAGCAAAAGAUUCAGUAUUCACCUCUAAGCUAUUCAUUUGCUUAGAAGAUUCACGCCAAUCGCACAGCCAAAGAGCAAAACAUGGGCCAGACUCUAAAACAGCAAUGAGCAACUGGCUGAGUAUGACAAAGAAAAGGGAGCUCCAGCUAAGACUGGUAGCGGGGUGGAGCAGGAGGCUGGCGAGGUCCACUUCUUCGGAUCUCUGGUUCAGUAGCUGACACCAAGCAGGGCUCUUCCUUGAAUGCACUCCUUCAAAAGCCUCAGAUAUACCACUUGUGACCACAUCCCCUCUAACGGCCCAAGCACUACACAUUACACCCUCCUUACUUAAUGAAAUCAAGAGUUUUGGUUUUUGAAAACUCGAUUGUUUAUGUUAAGCAGCAUCAUGGAGAACUAUCAAGGCGAAAGCUUGAACUUUCUUUCCCACGUCCUAUUGGGAUAACCCCAACAUAAGACUAAGGAUUUCAAUUAAUAUUAGAUAAAGUGAGGAAACAAUAAAAUUUAUUUGAAGCUGCUCAAGUCACUCUCUUAUUUUAUUUUAUUUAUUUAUUCUUUUGAGACAGGGUCUCAGUCUGUCACCCAGGCUGGAGUGCAGUGGCGUGAUCAUGGCUCACUAUAGCCUUGACCUCCCAGGCUCAGGUGAUUCUCCCACCUCAGCCUCCCAAGUAGCUGGGACUACAGGUGCACACCACCAUGCCCAGCUAGUUUUUUUGUUUUGUUUUGUUUUUUUUGAGACAGACUCUCACUCUUAUUGCCCAGGCUGGAGUGCAGUGGCGUGAUCUUGGCUCACCGCAACCUCCUCCUCCUGGGUUCAAGCAGUUCUCCUGCCUCAGCCUCUCGAGUAGCUGGGAUUACAGGCACACACCACCACGCUCACCUAAUUUUUUGUAUUUUUAGUAGAGACGGGGUUUCACCAGGCUGGCCAGGCCAGUCUUGAACUCCUGAGUGAUCCACCCGCCUCAGCCUCCCAAAAUGCUGGGAUUACAGGCAUGAACCACUGCUCCCAGCCUAGUUGUUUGUAUUUUUAGUAGAGAUGGGGUUUUGCCAUGGUACCCAGGCUGGGUUCAAGUGAUCCACCUGCCUCAGCUUCUCAAAGUGCUGACAUUACAGGUGUGAGCUUAUUUUAUUUUAGUUUAGAGACAAGAUCUCACUCUGUCACCCAGGCCUGAGUGGCAGUGGUGGAUUAUAGCUCACUAAAACUGUGAAUUCCUGGGCCCAAGCGAUCCUCCUGCUUCAGCUUCCCAAGUAGGUAUGACUACAGGUGCUCACCACCAUGCCUGGCUUAUUUAUUUAUUUAUUUAUUUAUUGUAGAAAUGAGGCCUCACAUUGUCCAGGCAGGUCUUCGAUGCCUAACCUCGAAUGAUCCUCUUCGGCCUCCCAAGCAAUCCACUUUGGCCUCCCAAAGCACUGAGAUUGCAGGCAUCAGCCACUGUGCCUGCCAAGUCACCUUUAAAUUAUCCAGUGGCUUCCCAUUGCACUUAAAGUCCAAAAUUCCUAAUGUGGCUUAAAAAGCCCAUCACUCCAGCCACAGCACUCAUUCCUUCUGCCAUUGGCUCACUGCCCCCCAGCCACAAGCACAUUCUUUCAAAGCUCUUCUCUGACUUGCAGCCUUGGACUGUGUUCUGCUUGGCUCACUCUCCUUCCUUUCCUCCUUUCAACUGGUUAACUCAUGCUCAGCUUCCAGGUCUCAACUUGAAAGUCAUUUCUUUAGGAGGGAUUCUCUAACCCUCGCUCUAGGUCAGGGCCCCUGUUUCAAACUCUUACAGCAUCCUACAGGCAGCCACUGGAACAUAGGGGAAGGCACUGCAGGUGAGGGGGAUGGAAUGGCAUUUUUUAUUUUGUUUGUUUGUUUGUUUUAGAGAUGGGGUCUUGUUCUGUUGCUCAGGUGGACUGGAACUCCUGGGCUCAAGGGAUCCUUCCACCUCAAACUCCCGAGUAGCUGGGACUAUAAGUGGCUGCUCAGCUAAAGGGAGUGUUGGUGGAUUUUUAAAGGCCCUUUUCUUUUCAGUAAACACAGGCUGGCUUGGGGAAAGAGUUUCGAUUUUAGCCCCUGCUUGCUUCCUCAGUUAGUCACCUUGUCUGGGAUCCAAACUGCUACAGCAUGAAGCAGAAGCUCUGAGGUCCCUUCAUGGCACUCAUCCUUCACAACACUCACCUAAAUUCCAUGGAAUAAUUACAGCUGUGACGCCUUGUGGAGCUCCAGGAGGCCAGCGCUCCUGUUUGUGACCUUGAAGCCCACAGAGCCUGGCCUUAGUAAAGGCUCCCAGAGACUGCACGCGACAAUGCAGCAAUAUCUGGCACUACUAAGCAACCAUUAGGUUACACAUUCACGUGCUUUUUUUCUAGUGAGAUUAUAAACGUUUAUUGUUCAGCCUACGCUAUUAUAAGAUCAUCUUCUUUUGAUUCUGAAUAUGUGGUUUGUGGCCAAAAAUCAGGACUCUAGCUUCCCUGAAAAAUAACCUGAUCCACAGGGAUGGAAUGUGUGAUCUUGACUAGGAAACAAGAAUCACAGAGCUGUAAGCCAGAAGGAAUCUAUAAAUCAUCUUCGUUUAACUUCCCCACUUUACAGGAAAUCAAGAAUUAGAAUAUUCUCAUCUGCAAAAUGGAAAGAAUCGAUACAGUGGUCUCCCAUAGCCAAUAUUCUGAGAUUCUAAGAUUUGCCCCAGGUCAGUCACAUGGAGAGGGACAGCCAAAGAUUAGUCGGCUAACUUGAAAUGUAAAACUAUUUUCCCAGCACUAUGUCCUAAGUAACUAAUCUAAGGCAGGGAGUUGAUCUGGUGAAUUCCCAGGCGGAUUCCCUGAGUGUGCCAAGUGCCAAAGAUCAAGGAAUGUGAGUUUUGGGAUCAUGUUACCAGUAAAAUCCCAUAUGGCAAAAAGAUGGAAUAACCUCAAUUUUCCAUGGUUUGUUAAGAUAUCCUUGAGUUAAUGGGGAUAAUAUUUAUACCUCAUUUAUGUGCCCCAGAAGCCAAACCAUGUACACAAACAUGCAUACACUCCUCAUAACUCAUGUACAGAUUUAAUGGCAUCUGAAGUUAGAUAGAAAAAUGGAGGAAAAAUUAUUAAAGAAAUGCCUUGUGCUCUGCUAAUGUCCGAAAAGAAUGAGACCGUAUGUGAGACAUAAAAACUCUGAUUCCAUGUUCAAGAAAUUGUAAAAAUAAUUAUUUCAAAUUUGAAAUACCGGCUGGUCUCAAACUCCUGGGCUUUAUCCAUCUGCCUCUCUCGGUCUCCCAAAGUGCUGGGAUUACAGGCAUGAGCCACCCUGCCCAGCCAAGAUAUAUAACUGUUAAUACAUAUAAAGCUACCCAGGGUGUUUUAAUGGCUAUAAUUUGUACCCUUCUUGCAUAUACUAUGGUUAGUUCAAUCAAAUAAUCAAUUCUGUAACCCUACAUCUAAAGGGUUUUUAUUUGGUUGUUUACUCUUUUGUUCUUUUUAAAAUCUAAUAUUUAACAUUAUAGUGAUUACUUUGAUAAAUAUAUCUUUAGUCAUACGUCUGAUUAUUUCUCAAAAUUAAAUUCGUAGAAAAGUACAUGCUUUUUCUUUUUCUUUUUUCUUUUCUUUUUUUUUUUUUUUUGAGACAGAGUCUCACUCUGUUGCCUAGGCUGGAGUGGAGUGCAGUAGUGUAAUCUCUGCUCACUUCAACCUCCGCCUCCCAGGUUUAAGCGAUUCUCCUGCCUCAGCCUCCCAAGUAGAUGGGAUCACAGGCAUGCACCACCACACCUGGCUAAUUUUUGUACUUUUAGUAGAGACGGGGUUUCGCCAUGUUGGCCAGGCUGGUCUCAAACUCCUGACCUCAAGUGAUCCUCUCGCCUCAGCCUCCCAAAGUCCUGGGAUUACAGGUGUAAAGUUUCCAUAACACAUUAAGACCAAACCAUUUUAACUGUUUUUGCAUAUUUGAAUCUCUUUAUUAAAUGCCAAUUUAAAAUAUUUAUUUUUCUUAACGGUAAUAACAGCAGUAAUUAACAAUCACGGCGCCCAGCUGAAAAGUACAUACAUUUUAAAUGCGCAGUAUAUAAAAUGUGUGUGUAUGUAAGGGAGAUUUAAUAUUUUUCUCCAAACGGUUAGCUGUAACCUAACACCAUUUAUUGCAUAGCAUAGUUUCUCUCUACUAAUUAGACAAUUUAUGUUUAUCAUGUAAUCAACUCUUCAUGAGGCUUUUAAAAGAGAAUAGAGAGCUUGAACGAAAAGCCAGAAUAAGGUGAUGGUUUUGGAGAGACUGGUAUCACCAGCAACGUACAGGCAUUAAACUUAAAAGCAGGAAUGGAUGGGGAUGUGUUGAGAGCAUCAGCCUCUUACAUACUUAUAGUUGUGCUGGCCUUAAGAGGCUGAUUCGGGGGAUUUCUAUGUACAAAGUAAGGAGAUGCCACUAAGCUAAAGAUAACAUUAUUUGGAUGGGAGGGAUUUUACACUGAACCUGAAAGACGGUCGUGGCUUCCACGCAUGCAAACUCUUUGCUUCUUUGGUCACCAAUGAAGCUGGAAAAAUAUCACUAACCCUUAGGUAGAAAGGAGGGAAGCAAGGAUUAAACUGUCAAGAAAGAAUAAUGGCCGUCUUUGUAUCUGAGUGCCUCAAUUUCCCUAUAUUUAUAUAUUCUGUAUAUGGUUUAUAUCCCAAUAGUCUACAAUUGAGCAUGUUUUCAUUUAUUAAAAGCCUUUCAUAUUUUCUUUUCCGAUAACUGUGUUCAUAUCCUUUGCUUAUUUUUCUACUGGUUUGUGUUUUCUUCAUGGAUUUGUAGAAACUCUUUAUUUAUUGGGGAAAUUAACCCUGUGAUAUGUGGGUUGCAAACAUUUUUCCCAAUUUGUCAUUGCAUAUGUAUGUGGGUGUAUGUGCUACUGAUUUAUUACCACAAAUAAAUCUAUACCAAGUCCUUUCAGAAAUCAUUGGAAGUGACACUAAAUUCAACAAGUGCCUUAAAAAGAUUUUAUUGUGGUAAAAAUACAUAAAAUUUACCAUUUUAACUGUUUUUGCAUAUCUAAUUCUCUUUAUUAAAUGCCAAUUUAAAAUAUUUGUUUUUCUUAAUGGUAGUAUCAGCAGUAAUUAAAAAUAAUAAGACAUAUUGACAAGGUUAACAUAGUACUGGCUGUGGUUACUGGGAGAAGACAAAAUAAAAACUGGAUAUCCCCAUUAAUUUGAUUUUUUGUUUGUUUGUUUGUUUGUUUUUUUGAGAUGGCGUCUUGCUCUGUCGCCCAGGCUGGAGUGCAGUGGUGCGAUCUCGGCCCACUGCAAGCUCCGCCUCCCGGGUUCACGCC
rnacentral:lncRNA from 1 species